rnacentral:lncRNA from 1 species
CUGAGAGGGCUGCAACAAACAGUACAUUAUUUAUGUGCCCUUCUCACGUUUCUCUGCGUUAUGUAAAUACUAAUCAAGGUGAAAUUGGACUCAGCCGUGUCUAAUUUUGACUUCAGUUUAUUUUGGCAAUAUCCAAGCAGAGGUCAGAUGCUAAAUGGUCUUCUAGAGGAGCCCUGAGGUUUUCUAAAGCUUUGUGUGGGUUUAAGGCAGUCUCCACGUAGGCUCGUAGCUGGCUGUUGGAGUCCCAAGCGCGGUUGCUCUGUUGUCCCCAGGCCUCAUACUUUCCUUUGCUUGCAACAUGAGUGAGAAAAUAAGUUGGUCUGGGGGAAAAGACACUUAGUGGAGCUUUGGACUCUCAAGGCAGCGAGGCCAACAGCAGCUCAUAGUUGUCUUGUGCUCACCAGAUGGAGAGGAUGGGGCCCUCAGUAAAAUGGGAGCUGUGGGAUCUGUCACAGCUGUCUGCCACUUCUAAGAUGAUGAUAGAGAAUGUGUGUCAGUGCAUGAACUUCUCCCAGUGAAUCAGAGCAUCACAGCGUGCCUGUAGCCUCUGCGGUGGCUGGGCACCUAAACAGCACUUCCUUUCCACGGGGGGAGGAGGAUGCCCAGCCUCCUGCUCUACAAGUGGCAGUUCCUAUUCCGGCAAAAGGCGAGUUUCCACCUGAUGUUAACCCUGUAGAGCCAGUGAGACAGCUGCACAAAUUGGACCUAAUGCUGCAGGUACCUACUGGGGAAUUAAUUGUGUGUGUUUUUUUUUUUUUUUUUUUUCUGAAUGGUUUUAUUUUAGGGAGAGCAAGUUAAUUCUUGUUGCUUUGCUGUAGGAAGAAAGUCAAACUAAAAGGCACAUGGUUUCUGCAGCUUUUGAAAUCUUUGUAUUGUUAUGCGGAAUAACUGCAAACAAUUUGCAUUACAAUGAAUCAUAAAUAAGAGAUGCCACCAGCUGAAGUGUAAACUGAGCAAAAUGUGGGCAGCUCUCAGUGCAGCAGAACCAAACUGCUUCAGGCAAGACUAGACGGAGCUAGCAGGCAAGUGAGCAAGGCACUGCUGGGUCGCAGACAAGCC